rnacentral:rRNA from 1 species
AUUGAACGCUGGCGGCAUGCUUUACACAUGCAAGUCGAACGGCAGCGCGGGCUUCGUCCUGGCGGCGAGUGGCGAACGGGGGAGUAAUACAUCGGAACGUGCCCAGUAGGGGUGGAUAACUCGUCGAAAGCCGGAGUAAUACCGCAGACGACGUGAGGGUGAAAGCGGGGGAGCGUCGGAACUCGCGCGAGGGUAGCGGCCGAUGGAGGAUUAGUUAGUUGGUGGGGUGAAGGCCUACCAAGGCGGCGAUCUGGAGCUGGUCUGAGAGGACGACCAGCCACACUGGGACUGAGCCACGGCCCAGACUCCUAAGGGAGGCAGCAGUGGGGAACUUUGGACAAUGGGCGAAAGCAUGAUCCAGCAAUGCCGCGUGUGUGAUGAAGGCCUUCGGGUUGUAAAGAACUUUUGGCGGGAACGAAAAGGACUGUGCCAAUACCACGGUUCGAUGACGGUACCCGCAGAAUAAGCACCGGCUAACUACGUG